rnacentral:lncRNA from 10 species
UUUCUAUUUAAAAAAUUUACAUUUAACAUGAGCAAACUCUAGAAAGCAGCCUCUGAGAUGGCCCACAAGGAUCCCUGCAUCCUGGUAUCCCAAGCCCUUGUGUGAUCUACUCCGCUUGAGGGCGGGCUGGGGGUAUUGAGGCUUUUCUAAUGAACAGAAUACAGAAGGCGUGAUAGAUGGGAUGUCACUUUUGUGGCUUCUGUCUUGGGUGCUCGCUCUCUCUCUCUCUCUGGAUUUCUCACUCUUGGGGAAGCCAGAUUCUUUGUCUCCAGGCAGCCCUGUGGAGAGCCCCACAUUAACUUGGAAAUGGAUCUUCUGACGCUGCCAACAGCCAUGUAAGGAAACUUGAAGGUGCCUCAGCUCCAGCCCACAGCUUGAUGGCAGCUCAUGAGAGACCCUCAGCCAGAGGCCCCCAGCUAAGCCACUCUGGAUUUCUGACCCACAGAAACUGUAAGAUAAUAAAUGUGUGUUGUUUUCAGCCACUAA